GACGUAGGGCGCGAGCGUUGUCCGGAUUCAUUGGGCGUAAAGGGUGUGUAGGUGGCGCCGUAAGUCGGGUGUGAAAUUUCGGAGCUUAACUCCGAAACUGCAUUCGAUACUGCGGUGCUUGAGGACUGGAGAGGAGACUGGAAUUCAUGGUGUAGCAGUGAAAUGCGUAGAGAUCAUGAGGAAGACCAGUGGCGAAGGCGGGUCUCUGGACAGUUCCUGACACUGAGACACGAAGGCCAGGGGAGCAAACGGG
rnacentral:rRNA from 1 species